AGAUGAACUGGCCUCUGCCCUGGCAUCCUCAGAUCAUCGAUGUUCAGAUCAUCACCAUCGGAUCUGUAGCUGUCGUAGCUGUUCCUGGAGAGAUGACCACCAUGUCAGGGAGGAGAUUAAGAGAAGCUGUUAAACAGGAGCUGGAGUCGGAGGG